GCAACAUUUGGACCGUCGGUCUACCGAGCAAAUAUCACCCGCCUGGUGGAAAAUUUUCCCUUUGCGU
rnacentral:pre_miRNA from 1 species